GCUCCAAUGUUGGUAGGUUGCUCUUGCUCAUCUACAACGUCAGCCAUUGUGUCGGUUUCUGUCUGUUCUCUUAGUUGGCGAGCAAUACGGUCGAUGUUAUCGUUGAAUAGAAGGUUCUGAUUUCCUUGUGACCGUGUAUGCAUGCAACAGAUAGCAGCCGGGCUAUAACAGACAAAUCACAGAUGCGUCUGGAAAGCGGGUUGCAAGGUACCUGAAACACAAAGACAGAAAAGGCACAAUGUUAGUAACUUGUGUAACAAAAACGAACUUGAUCUUAAUGUUUCUAAUGAUCUCAAAUAUAGCAAACAAACACCAAACUGGCAACGGCGCCAAAUUGAUAGUAGGAUUUUUCUCAAUUAAUCCCUAAAACACUAUCUUGUCGUUGUAGUAUUUUAGGAUGUCAAUCCAAUCCGGUGUGAUGCAAACAGAUGAGAUAUGAUCAGAAAGCUCUAAGUCAAGCCAAGCAGAUAGUUGGUUGGUUCUAACAGUCCUAGUAUGCAAUGACAU
rnacentral:sRNA from 1 species